GUACCUCAAAAGGAUAGCACCAUUUUGUUGUUUACUUAUGAACAACCUUUACCAUACUUCAUUGUUAUUUACCAAAUUAUUUAUAUACAUUAACAUUGCAGGAACAGUUAAUAUCUGUGAAAGUAUACAUCUUUUUAAACAGAAUGUUAGUAAAGUAUUACCUUUGGAGUAAGGGGACCAUGGUCAUCUGCAAAUGUGGAAUUUCC